rnacentral:lncRNA from 1 species
AUACUACUAAUAGUCUCAUGAGUCGCUGUUUAUUAAUUUUUUUAUUAAUCACAUGAAUCAUAAGAGAAGAAUGAUAAUUUGUUCAAAAUUAAAGUCAACAAUAGGAGUCUAGCUAAGGUAAGGUAAGAUUAUUAAAGCAACUGAAAAGUUAACAAGUUAUAUAAAAACAUCGUGUAACUUCCCUGACCAAAAUGGACUUAACUAUCCAAUCUUCUAUCAUCACUUUCUCGAAUCGUAGAGUCUAGCAACUCAAAGCUCUAACUGCUACUACUUCUAUUCUGGUAUAACUCUUAACAUCCUGUAUAACACUCGUAAGAAAAAUAAAAAUAAGUAAAACUCAGUGAGAAAACAAACAAAUAACAAGAAGAAAUAGACAAGCAGUUAUACAUCAAGCUCAAUAAUUAAAAGAAAAUGUGAACAUAGCUAAUUGAACCGUCAGAGGACGAAAUCGUAAAACUAACUACUUAUUAUCCUUACCAGUAAUAUUAGUAAUGGUAAUAAUAAGAACAACCAUAAUAGUAUCAAUAAUUAAAAGUAUAGCAAAAAGUUGUGCACACUAAUAAAUAUCUCCUAUUGAUCCUUGGCAGCUUUGGCGCAACGGAUGUUUAACCUGGCAGCACCAAAGCACAAAAUCCCUGUCAUAUACAUGUAGACAAUAUUCCAAAAAGUAACCACCCAAUAUACGCCUCAAAAGUAUAUAUAUAUCGAGCGUUGUCCCAAAGAUAGUAUAUUUACCGACAGCACUCCCCAAAGUUCCAUUGAUGUAAUAAUUAUAUAAUUUAAUUUAAUAAUUAUAUAUUUAAUAAUUAUAUAUUAAAUUAAAAUUUAAAAUAA